rnacentral:snoRNA from 6 species
CGGAGGACUGAGAAGGUGAGGCAGUUCUGAACCAUGCUGCCUUCCACUGGUUAAGACCUCCGAGAGCGAAGGCCUGCAGAGGCAGAGGAAGUCCCUCUGCCGCCCCCAGAGGGGCAGCACUGUGUUGGCCGACACUUG